CCUGCCCCUAGAGGCUGCAGGUGUGGCUGCUGUGUAACCUGUCUGUCAGUAGGUGGCAGUAAGGAGAGAGGCUAUGUCUACAAUCAGUGUUCUGCUAUGAACAUCUGAUUGAUUAGUAUAGCUGAAAGG
ensembl:snoRNA Gm25214 predicted gene, 25214